CAAUACAACAAAACAGAGAGCUGAUCUUAUUAUUCAUCUGAGAAAAUCCCUGGAUGUCAGAGAGGUAAAUCAGAGCAGAGUGCUCCCUUAACCUGCUGAAGGACAGGACAUGCUGGUGAUGGGAGACGGUUACUUCUGCAGCUAGACGAGAUGGAAGCAUUUCACAACCAUUAUCUUUAAAUAUUCACAAAUUCAACAUAGAGGAUUAGCAGCAGAAGGAAGUGUUUGCUCAGUACUCCGAAGCAAAAAAGAUUUUCUGAAGAAAAAAUGAAACUUUCAGCACUUGAAUACACAAGACUGUGUAAACAUUCACCAUUGACAGAUGAAGAUUCAAGGAAAUGCAUCCCCUUCAAAUUGGAAAGAACUGUAGAAAGAUAUCUGUGCUUGAGUCCUGCCAUGCAUGAACUCAACCCAGCCUUUAGAGUGCUUCAGAUCAAUCUAAGUGAAAUGCAAAUAUUGCUGGCCAUCAGUCUUCACUGUCAUUUUGAUACACAUAGAAGGAACCACAUGAAACAAAGGUGA
rnacentral:lncRNA from 1 species